rnacentral:rRNA from 1 species
GACGAACGCUGGCGGCGUGCCUAAUACAUGCAAGUUGAGCGCUGAAGGUUGGUACUUGUACCAACUGGAUGAGCAGCGAACGGGUGAGUAACGCGUGGGGAAUCUGCCUUUGAGCGGGGGACAACAUUUGGAAACGAAUGCUAAUACCGCAUAAAAACUUUAAACACAAGUUUUAAGUUUGAAAGAUGCAAUUGCAUCACUCAAAGAUGAUCCCGCGUUGUAUUAGCUAGUUGGUGAGGUAAAGGCUCACCAAGGCGAUGAUACAUAGCCGACCUGAGAGGGUGAUCGGCCACAUUGGGACUGAGACACGGCCCAAACUCCUACGGGAGGCAGCAGUAGGGAAUCUUCGGCAAUGGACGAAAGUCUGACCGAGCAACGCCGCGUGAGUGAAGAAGGUUUUCGGAUCGUAAAACUCUGUUGGUAGAGAAGAACGUUGGUGAGAGUGGGAAGCUCAUCAAGUGACGGUAACUACCCAGAAAGGGACGGCUAACUACGUG